AUUGAACGCUGGCGGCAUGCCUUACACAUGCAAGUCGAACGGCAGCACGGGAGCAAUCCUGGUGGCGAGUGGCGAACGGGUGAGUAAUAUAUCGGAACGUGCCCAGUAGUGGGGGAUAGCCCGGCGAAAGCCGGAUUAAUACCGCAUACGACCUGUGGGUGAAAGCGGGGGAUCGCAAGACCUCGCGCUAUUGGAGCGGCCGAUAUCAGAUUAGCUAGUUGGUGGGGUAAAGGCCUACCAAGGCGACGAUCUGUAGCUGGUCUGAGAGGACGACCAGCCACACUGGGACUGAGACACGGCCCAGACUCCUACGGAGGCAGCAGUGGGGAAUUUUGGACAAUGGGCGCAAGCCUGAUCCAGCCAUGCCGCGUGUGGG
rnacentral:rRNA from 1 species